CUAGACGGGUGAGUAACGCGUGGGAAUCUACCCAUCUCUACGGAAUAACGCAUGGAAACGUGUGCUAAUACCGUAUACGUCCUUCGGGAGAAAGAUUUAUCGGAGAUGGAUGAGCCCGCGUUGGAUUAGCUAGUUGGUGGGGUAAAGGCCUACCAAGGCGACGAUCCAUAGCUGGUCUGAGAGGAUGAUCAGCCACACUGGGACUGAGACACGGCCCAGACUCCUACGGGAGGCAGCAGUGGGGAAUAUUGGACAAUGGGCGCAAGCCUGAUCCAGCCAUGCCGCGUGAGUGAUGAAGGCCCUAGGGUUGUAAAGCUCUUUCACCGGUGAAGAUAAUGACGGUAACCGGAGAAGAAGCCCCGGCUAACUUCGUGCCAGCAGCCGCGGUAAUACGAAGGGGGCUAGCGUUGUUCGGAUUUACUGGGCGUAAAGCGCACGUAGGCGGACUAUUAAGUCAGGGGUGAAAUCCCGGGGCUCAACCCCGGAACUGCCUUUGAUACUGGUAGUCUUGAGUUCGAGAGAGGUGAGUGGAAUUCCGAGUGUAGAGGUGAAAUUCGUAGAUAUUCGGAGGAACACCAGUGGCGAAGGCGGCUCACUGGCUCGAUACUGACGCUGAGGUGCG
rnacentral:rRNA from 1 species